rnacentral:tRNA from 1 species
GUGUAGCUUAAUGACAGAGCCCUUGCCUAGCAAGCAUGAGGCCCUGGGUUCAAUCCCUAGCAC